CUUUUGUGGUGCUUUAAAAGAAUGGAAUCGUCUCUCUGGAUGCCCACCAGGCUGCUGGAGAGGAAGGGAAGCGGCUGUCACGGCACGCCAAGAAAGGCCUGGAAUGCGUGCUGGGUCUGAUUGCACCCUCAGAAGAGAAGACAGGGAGGAAGGAGCUCAAUGCUGAGCCCAGCAGGAAUCUUGGGCAGGUGGAGCAUCGGCGGAGGAGCCGGAAGGGACGCUGUAGGCAUCAGGAGAGGGAGAGUUUCCUCUCUGUGCGCCGGGCGUCCAAGGAGCUCAAGUAGAAAAGUUCUUCAGUGCCCUGGGUGUGCCCGCUGCAGCCGGCCCAAGACCGACAGCGCCAGCAGGGCGACGUGGAGAGCUGUGCAGGGACCAGCCAGGAGCUGUCCUGCUCCUCACCAGCUGCCAGCCACUAUUUUGUCAUAAAGAAUAUUUCCAGGAAAAGAUGGGAUUCAGUUUUUUUCACUGGCACAAUGCGAGCUGCUGCGCAAUUUCCCUGCCUGAGGCCAGAGCUGUGCCUGAGACAAGAAAUGGGAAUUUGAGGUGUUGCCAAACUGCUUCUGGUCCAAGAUUUCCUGCAGAGACAGGAGAGAGCAGGGGGAUCAGGAGAUUUCCUGGUGUCUCCUUGUCAGGAGCACGGCAGCAGCGGAGGCUCCCGGCACAGGGAAGGAGCUGGGGGCUCCAAGCUGAAGGUGCUGCUGUGUGUCCCUGGAGGAGAGGACACCACUG